GUUGAACGCUGGCGGCAUGCCUUACACAUGCAAGUCGAACGGUAACAGGUCUUCAGCUGCUGACUAGUGUCGCACGGGUGAGUAAUACAUCGGAACGUGCCCGAACCUCGUGGGUAACGAACCGAAAACUUGGCUAAUACCGCAUAAGAUCUACGGAUGAAAGCCAUGGACAUCAAUGCCUUGCGCGAACGAAGCGGACGAUGGCGGAUUAGGUAGUUGGUGGGGUAAAAGCUUACCAAGCCGACGAUCUGUAGCUGAUCUGAGAGGAAGACCAGCCACAUUGGGACUGAGACACGGCCCAGACUCCUACGGGAGGCAGCAGUGGGGAAUUUUGGACAAUGGGCGAAAGCCUGAUCCAGCAAUGCCGCGUGGAGGAUGAAGGCCUUCGGGUUGUAAACUGCUGUUGUAAGGAAAGAAAAGACUCUGGUUAAUACCUGGGGUCCAUGACGGUACCGUAAGAAUAAGCACCGGCUAACUACGUG
rnacentral:rRNA from 1 species